UUGAGGGGUUUCCUUCCUGGAGAUGGAUCUGGCUGGCAGAACCAACUUUGAUUUCUCAAUUUCUUCUCUGGCUCAUAGCUCUGCUUCUAGCUCUGCUGGUGUCUCUGAGGUCUGAGAUUGACAGUGGCCGUAGGAGACAUAGAGGGUGCAACCAUUGACCAAAACAACAUGUCAACCAUGAUGACUGCCACACCUAUAGACUAUUUAAGAGGAAAAGCAGCUUCUGGUGAGGCGGCAGACGGAGGUGUCACAUUUGAAGUCACAUACAUACAACGCAACCUCUCCCGGCUACUCGGAAACAUCUGGCAGACACCUGACCUAAGAGCAGCUGUCCCAUAGGCUGCCCCAAAAGAAGUGAUUAGCUCAGCCACUCAAAUCCCUCCAAAGUUUGAACUAGGAAGUACAGAAACUUACAGGGCUGUGUAAGUAGAGAUGCAGAGAAAAAUAGAGCAGCAACAGAGGGGACGCACAGUCUCCUGGAGGCAUAACUAGACAGCUAUAGAGUGAAGAUCCAUGAAGCCUUCCUCCUGGGGGUGGGGGGAGUGAUGUAGAAUGCUGUCUUGGGUGCAGAACUGCCCUCCAGGUCCAUUGUCCAUGAAGUUUGGCUCCAGGCAUGGAGCCGAGCCCCAUGCUUACCUCAGAUAACCUAGAAAUAGUCUGUUCCUGGCACAUUUACCAUCUACCAUAGA